rnacentral:lncRNA from 1 species
GGCAUUCCUUUUUGAACAGUACCCAUUCCCUUGAUGUCUACAAUAUCACCUUUCUUAUAGAUUCGCAUAUAUGUGGCCAAAGGAACAACUCCAUGUUUUCUAAAAGGCCUAGAGAACAUAUAUCGGGUGCCUCUCCUCUUUCCCUUUGUGUUCGUCAUUUUGGCGAAUUACUGGAAGAUGGCGGUUCCGGCCGAAAGGGCAAGAUGCAUAUUGGAUAUCUAAAUAGAGAUAUCAAGAAAUGAAGAUAUGCAUUUCCAGUUCCAGAGAGAAAUUCACACUGGAAAUAUAAAUUUAGGAAUUUUAAAGUUAGUGGUCACAUUUAAAGCUGCAGAAUACAAAGAGAUCACCUGUGUGAGAGAACUGAGUCCUGAAACAUACCCGUGUUUAAAGAUCUGGGAGGUGCAGAGGAAUUAUCAAAGGAGGCUGAGAAGGAGCAGCCAGUGAGGUGUGUAGAAAAACAAGAUAAGCAAAAAGAAAAGCAAGAGAUAUGGAACUGAACUUCCCUUUGGCAAAAAAUUUAGAAAAUGAUAAUGAGACUCCGCUUUCUGUCUCUCUGAAGAUAACGUUAAGCUGCAGCUCCGUAUCUGUGAAAACCCAUUUCACAGCAUCUGCAUCCCUGGAUUGCUAAAUACCCUUGUCUAGUUACCCAAAUAUUAAUGGAUCCCAUGGAAUAAGGUGGCAUGAUUUAGGCACAAGCAAUUACCAAAGGAUUUUGAAAAGCAGUAACUCCAAAUUAUCUUGUAAAGUUGAGAAUAAUCUGAGAAGAGCUAUUGUAAGACUGGGAAUCAAGUAACAAAAUAAAGA